rnacentral:lncRNA from 1 species
GUACGAGAAGUAGGAGCUUCUGUUUGUUGUGUUGACCCGCGAGCAAACCGAGUUGAACCUGUGUUUGAUUCCUUCUGUUGUAACCUGUUUCACAUGGAAUCCCCACGAUUAGCUUGUAAAGUAUUGCAGUAAGUUCGUUGAUUUUAGAAUUUUUUUGCUUUUCAUCUAAAAUUUUGGUACAAUAUUCUUUCAAAAGCUAUAAAUCAUAGUUCCGACAUUGUUCUGUACAAUGGUAUUCUUUGAUAUCAGUUGAAAGUGCCGGUGCCAUACAAGAUACAACCAUUUGAAAUAUCUCACACAUUUAGAAGUUGAAGUUUUCUUAGUUGCAUUCACCUAGCUACUAUUUAAAAAUCCUUCAAAAUACUCCCACUUUGUUCAAGAGCUCUAUUUUAUAACACGAGCGGAUGGGUUGGUAUGUUAUGGAUUUAAAUUAGGGACGGAUCCGCGGUGUCAACUUCCUUACACAAUUUUUGACAUGUUUUUGUUAGACACACUUCUUAAUGUAUUUUAACGAUCUGAACCGUCUAUUUUUUAUAAUUCAUAGAUCAUUCUUACAAAAUAUUAGACAAAUUUAAAUCCAUUAAGGCAUUCAUAUGUAGUGGAAAAAAAAAUGGACAAAUACGGUUCUACAAAGAAUACCUAACCUUGAAUCCAACCACGAUAUGAUUUCAAAUUUCGAUGAUUUUUGGUAGAUGUAAUAUUUGAGAGAAGACUUUAAAGAUAGACGGUUUAGAUCGUUGAAAUAAAUUAUGAAGUGGGCCUCAUAAAAACGUGGGUAAAAAGUUGUGUAAAAAUAAUGGUGACAUGAUUUGGUCCCCUUUAAAAUAUAAUAUAAAAAAUAAAGAAUGUGUUAUAAGAUGAGUGGAUUAGCAAAUAUGUAGUGUUUGAUGUGAUGACUAUAGUUGAAAUGUAUUGGAGAAAAGCUUCAGUAAGGUAACAUGAUCAAGCAGCUGGUUAGGUUACUCUCACAAGAAUGAGACUUUGUGCCUCACAGAUUAUGCUUUCAUGGAGAAAAGCUUUAGUAGGGAUUGUAUUUACGACCUCUAUUGAAUUGCUUUCGCGAAAAGCUUUAGUAAGGUAAUCUAACCAUACGGUUGGUCAGGCCACUCUUACAAGAGUGAGAUCUUGUGCUUAGCAGAUUGGACAUGCAUGCAGCCAUACAAUACCUAAACAUAAAGGAGCUUGCUUCCUUGAAAGAAUGACUUGUCAAUUUGUCAAUCACGUGAUCAUACUGUCAUACCAAAGUCUUUCUUACAUAUGAAAUUGCCAAGGUGGGAUCAUCUUAACCUAAAAGCAUGCACGUGUUCACUAUGCUUUAACAGAUCAAGAAUUGAAUAAAUAAAAAACAGCCUCCUCCAUUAGCGUCGCCGUCCACUAACUGAAAGCACACUUUCGAAUUCAAUCAAUCCACACAUUUGGGUUAAAAAAUCUCUUUGAAUCAAUCCAACUUGCUGAAUUUAUAUACCCUAAAGUUGUACGGACACACCCCCCUCCCCUCAACAAAGUGAUUCUUCACCAAGAUGCAUUAUCUGUAUAAAUAAUGACACAUCAUUGUUGCCACUUGAAAACUUUGAAGGGAAAAAAAAAGGAGAUGCCAAGUCAAAGCUGCAACAAGAUUUUUGAUUUGGUACUGGAAGUUGGUCUGUCUUCUCUAAUUUGCUCAUGGGAUUCUGAAUCUCAGUCAGGUUAAAUCUGAACUGUCAUCGAACCAAUCAUCAACUUUUCAACCAUUAUAGUAAAAUAAUAAUAAAUUAUUAUUUAUUUAAUUUUAAUUUUAACUAGCUUUGUCACUGUGUCUUUGAUGAGUCACGAGCCAAUAAAAAAAUAAAUUGGAUUGUUUUUUUUUUUAUAUUCUUUUUCAUUGUAUAGUUGCACAUCAUUUGGCGCUAGGCGACACACAUAGUGACUAACUCAAAAUUUAAAUAAUGAGAAGGAAGAAAAAGGAAGAGAGAAAAUGAUGGAGGAUUUUAGACUUUACUAGUGAUCCCCUCGUCGUCCUUAUCCCAAAGUGUAUGUAGUAGUAGUAGAUAAGCAAGUAGUAUAAAUAUUAACACGAAAAAAGCUACAGAUAUGCCCCCACCCCCUAUUUAUGGCUUUUACAAUGUGAUAGAUGGUGGAGUGCCAAAAGAUUCCACCUUCCCCAUGAAGGUUCAACUAAAGAGUAUCCUCCUUUUUUUUCUUGUACACAAGUGUUUAAGGUAGACAAUGUUUUGUGUUGAACAACUGUAUAUGAAUACUGUCACAUUAUAUCACUGAUUCUCUUUCAAACAUGGGUAGAGAAAAAAAGGAGGAGAGAGCAUGAACUAGAAAAGAGGGAGAGAUGGCGAGGAAGCGUUUAAAAAUGUGACGAAGAAAUAGAAGGUGUGAAUGUGCGUAAGAGGAGAGAUUCUCUCAAGCAUCGAUUGGCAAGAGAAGAACCCUGCGAUGCCAUUACUAUGCUUCAAACUAAAAUGGACACCUAUAGCUAUGUGUAUUAAAGGGACCCACAAGGGCACCCACCGACCCUACAUUGACACGUCCCAAUCCCGAUAUUCCCUGAAUACCAAGAUAGGCACGUGCUAGGUAGAUAUGAGAAUAUACAUAUAAGGCUUACAGGAUCCACUCCCCUGGGUGACGUGGGGUCUUACAAUCCACCUCCCUUAGGGGCCCGACGUCCUCUUCGACACACAUCCGGCCAGGGAUUGGCUCUGAUACCAAUUUGACACGCCCCAAUCCCGAUAUUCCCUGAAUACCAAUCUGAUGCUCCCUGAUCCCGAUAUUCCUUGAAUACCAGGAUAGGCACGUGCUGGCCGACAACUGAGGGUGACGAAAGCCAUUUAUUGAAUGCAAAUGUUGAAAACAAUGGAUGGAUUAGACUUAUAAAUAUAAACGAAUAAUGAAUAUGCAUUUAAGGAACGUGUUCAGAACAUACAACUAACUAAUGAAACAAAGGAUGGAUCCUACACCGAGAGGACUCGAAGACGCCGAUGCGGAGGUUCUUGGAUGCCAGGAUUUUAGGCCUCGAUUCUAAGUCUUGAAGGGGGCGCAAAACAAACAUGAGUGGACCCCUUCUAAAAAUGCAUGUUUUGAUAGUAGAAAUGCAUACAUGAAAAGCAUGAUUUGAUGAUUAUGUUCUAUGAAACGCUUUGAGAUAACAUGCUUACUGAGCAUAGAUUGAAUUACUACUAUUUUUCCUAUAACCCGUGUUCUUACAGAAUAUCUGAUGGAUGAUGAUAUGAUAUUUAGAACAUGUUUAGAACACCUCUUUAUAGUAUAGAUGAUGGAUGACUUUAUACUAUGAAGUUGCUUUUCAAUAAAUGUAUGUUCAAUGAUUUUGUACUUAUCUAGUGGUCCUUAUUCCGCUACGAGACGUAGGGAUAGAUUCUUGUCCGUCCCGGGCGACGAUUUGGUGUUGGCAUAGGGCCUGGAGUGUGUUUCCUCUGGCAAUUAGCACAGGGACGGGGAGUUGGCAUCAUGGGGCCUGGAGUGUAUUUUCCUCUGACUGUUUGCUCAGAGAUGGGGAGCCGGCAUGGGGCCUGGGGGUUAUCAGACAUUAAUGAGUGAUUAUUAUAUAUACAAGUUAUGAUUUGAGACAUUGCACGACAUGCUAGGUUUCAGAAAACCUAUGUUUAUCAUGAUAUAUAUGUGUUUUCAUAAAACAUGGGGGUUAGUACGUUUAUAACUGUUUUAGUAUAUAUAUGAUACCAAAUUGUCACAUCUCGGCCUGGGCCCCCACCACAUCUCGGGCUCAACUUCGCCGUAGCACGAUAUUGUCCGCUUUGGGCCCCGACCACGCCCUCACAAUUUUGUUUCUGGGAACUCACACGAGAACUUCCCAAUGGGUCACCCAUCAUGGGAUUGCUCUCACGCGAACUUGCUUAACUUCGAAGUUCCGAUGGAACCCAAAGCCAGUGAGCUCUCAAAAUGCAUCGUGCUAGGUAAAAAUGAGAAUAUACAUAUAAGGUUUACACGAUCCACUCCCCUGGACGGUGUGGGAUCUUACACACAUGGCCUAACACCAACUGAUUCCCAAAACCAAAUUAGCCUUUAAUCUCAAAUUUCUUCAUUGCUAUUGCAUCAUAAUUAGCCUUUAAUCUCAAAUUUCUUCAUUGCUAUUGCAUCAUUUGGAAAGAAAUCUCUAUCCUCCAUUCAAUCUCUUUUUUUUUCUUCUCAUUUUCUAUUAGGGUUCUUCAACAACUAUGAGUUUGUAUUGGUAUUGGGUCUAUGGAUUAACAAUUCUGAGUUGGUAUUGGUAUAGGGUCUACGAAUCCAUACAAGAUUUUGUGCGAUACGAACGUGGGAUGGAAAUUAGGUUUCUGAAAUUAUUGUACGUACUUACGUUAAAAAAGUUUAAGAUAACAAUUUUAAUACAUCAUCAAUGCGUUAUAAGCACGUAGAUAUUGUUAACGGUAACUACAUGUCAUUUCAUUAUUGAUGUAAUACAAGCACUCAACUGGAGCAAAAUCAUAACUCAUGCAACAUUUUCCAACUAGCACUUCAAUUAAAUUUCUAUAAAUGUACAUAUGUAUGUUGUGUAUAUUGAGUAGCAUUCCAUGUUAGGACACAUAAUAUAUUACUCAAACAUAAAUGUCUGGAUAUACAGGCACCGUCGCAUUUGCAAUAGUCCACUCUGCGUGUUAUUUACCGAAGGGGAGUUUAAUAUGUACAUUAUCCGAGGUGUGUUCUUCUUCUUUUUCGUCUGUUUACGUUCCCAACUAUUUGGAGCUAGCCCUUCCAUAUAUACCGGUUUUACUUCAACAUUUUAUCAUGUCUGUUAGCCCCCACCCUUCACUUUUUGAUAGAUCUCAAAUCUUCUUUAUUCUUGUGCCCUAGCUAGACAUGUGCCGAGGAACAAUGGUAGGGAUCACAUAAUUUAGUCACCAACUAGAAAGUUCUCACUACAUUAUCCUCUGGUUCAUUCUUCUUUCAGAUUAUCUAGUGAUAUAACUCUAAUCAAGGCCCUUGAUCCUUUUAACGACGUAUGCAUCAUUCGUUCUUAGAAAUGCUCGAAUGUUGUAUAAAAAUCUCUUUGUGAAGAUUUCAGAUGGGAAUAUAUAUUAACAAAUUUGAGGUUUUGGGAUCCCAGCAUUUCAUUCAGUUACCAAAGUUUUUAGGGUUUUUGAGAUGUUGAGCAAAGGACUAAGAAUGCUGCUGCCAUGCCAGUUAACGGGAAAAUGGACAGCUAAAAUAACCAGGCAGACAAUCAUUCAACGGAGUAUAUAUACAUAUAUGUGUGUACUAUAUAUACCGUGAAAUUGUUUUUUUUUUUUGGAAAGAAUCAGACACGAGAGGGACCUUUUUCAUCCAACCACGUACCAAGAUUAUAUCCUCUACCCUGAUCAUUUACCUUUUAUAGCUUUUGGACAUCAAAGAUUCCAGUUCAGAUAAGUAUAAAGUACAAGCUUAUGAGAAAAUAGAACAAAAUAAUAUAGCAAUUGUGGGGUGUCAAGUAGUCAAUGAUUCAUUUAUUAAUAAGAAGAAGAAAAAAUCCUGCAUUCAUGAAAAAUACAAGCAAAUAUUCAUAAUGAUCAGAGGGAAAAAAAAAAAAAGGAAACACAAAAUUUCUAUUUUUGGCUGCUCAGCCUGCUAGAGGAGCUAACAUAUUCCUUUAUUUAUUUCAGUAGUUCCUCCAUUAAUUAAUUUCUUGGAAACUAAGCCAAGAAUCAGGAGAAAAGGUGGUCAUUCAUCCAAAGGAAAGAAAAAGGAAAGAAAAAAGGUCAAGGAAUAUAAGGAUGAUAUAUAUAACUAUUAUAUAUAUAUAUAUAUAUAUCAUAUGUGAUAAGCCAAGAAUAUCAGACUUGCCUGAGUUUACAUUUCCUCAAGUUCAUCACCUUUCUUCACUGCUGUAAAUUAGGUCAUGGCUGAAAGAUGAUGAAAACCCUAAAUCUUCCUCCUCCCCCUCCUCCUCCGGCCCAACUUUUCGACAUCGAAGACUGAUAGUCUCGUCUUGAUGACAUUCUUCUCAGCUUUUGAAGCACCAUCGCCAUCUUUCCUUGGACAAAUUCAGUGACACCAAAAGAAAGAAAUUGAACGCCGAUAGAGAUUGAUCCUGUGAAUUCCUUCGAAAACUGGUAACUUCUUAGGUAGAAAUUAGAAUAAAGUUGUAGAGAGAGAGAGAGAGAGAAAGAAGAGAGGUCAUAGAAUUUGGGGGUGGUUGGUCAUGCUUAUUUAAUGAGACGGAUGGAACAAAGGUGAAAAUGAAAUAAUUUAGGCCACGUACGUACAUGGGGAGGACCUACUUCACAUGUCCUCUAUGUGUUUAAUUUACUGGUUAAAGGAAUAUCCAUUCAGUAAAAAGGACCCCUACCUUAUAAUUUAAAGUUGGAAUCUGAGGUGACCUAUCCAAUUUGGAUUUACAUACCAAACAUUAAUAAAAACAAAACAAAAACAAUAUCCAUUUUGAGCUUAUAGUUGGCCAAAACCUACCUAUAUAUUUGACAACCUUAAGCUGGCCUCUAUGGGUUUUAUAAUAAUAAUAAUAAUAAUAAUAAUAACACAAGAUAGUUCUUGGUUAUUUCCAUAUAACUGUGACAUUAUAUAUAAGAAUUGGCGGCAUUAGUUUAGUUGCUUAUAUAGUUGUUCUUGAGGUUCUUGUAAGUUUUUUACUUCGAUUUUGCCUUGUGACGUAUCAAUAAUCUUCAACUCUUCAAUAUUUUUGAAAUGAUUAGUUUUUUAAUACAUUGUUUAUAUUUGAUCGCUGCAUCCUCACUAUUUGAUAUUGUCGAUUUUUAAUUUUGAUCAAUCUGAUAUUUAAUAUUUAAUUUUUGAUCAUUUUAGCAAAUUCUCAUUAAAUCUCUUUUGGUUAUGUUAACUUCAUCAUUUUCAAGAUGUUUUUUAUGAAAGAAAUAUAGGCAUUUCUGACACACCCCGUCCCGAAGGAGGGCAUGCUGGCCGUCACGUGAGACGUGACGGCCAGCAUGCCCUCCUUCGGGACGGGGUGUGUCAAUUUCGGAUGAUUUCAAUUGUCAAAUGUUUAUAGACGUGAAGUCUAUUGAUUUGAUAGAAAGACUAGUUCUCAGUUGAAAAUUCAGAGAACCAUUUUCGUUCAACAACCUAAUAAGAGUUUUAAGGCAUUUGAUAAAAAAAAAAAAUUACUUAAAGAAGAUUUUAUUCUAAACUAGCAUAUAUAAUUGGUAAAAAUGAAGAUUAUUUUUUUUUCCAAGGUAAAACUGAAGAUUAGAACACACUAUUUUUACCAAUUGACUUAACUACUUGUGCAUGCAUUCGAGAACUUCAGUAAUUUAAAAAUAUUAAAGAGGACUUUCUUUUGGAAAUAUCCAUUUCAAACUCAUUUUGUUCGAUUUUAUUUUGAAGGCAAUUAAUCAUAAACCUUAUUUUAAUUCCUAACUCACAGCCUCGAUUUUCUCAUUACUUCGAGCCAAAUUUUCUCACUUGAACUAGCCCUGACGACUUAAUACCCUCCAUCCUUAUCCUUAAUGGAGGUAAAUACCAUUAAUUUGUAAGGACUCGUAAGUGGGAAGGGUUACUGUAAACAUGUGGUUUGAAUAAUAAUCCGGAUUAAGGACAAGAGUUAACAAGGUCAAGGGUGUUGGAUUUGUUCAGAUUAAUUAAUGGAUGUUUCAAUUAUAGUGGGUGACUUUUAAUUAUUCAACCUAAUUUUGGGUCGGGGACCAAAUGCUAAUCUAAUCAACCCUACAUGCAUAAAAUAUAAAGAAAAUUAAUGAAAAUAGUUUGAAAAUUUUGAGUUUUAACAAUAAAAAUAGGGGUGUGAUAUCCACACAUCCCAUUUUACUUCUCACACACCCUUUUAAUUUUCGGCCGUCGGAUCGGAUGAAUGGAAGAAGAUCAACGGACAAAAAUUAACAAGGGUGUGUGAGAAGUAAUUUGGGGUGUGUAGAUAGCACACCCCUAAAAAUAAAAUAAAAGAUAAAAUGAAUAAUAUCAAAAUUGAUAUUUUAAUGUAUAAAUGUGAUUUUUCGUUAAAAUGAACAAUACUAUAAUUUUUUUUGUUAAAGUUACUUAAAAUUUAAUCAAGACCCAGUGUACAGCAGUAAUGCAAUUGAAAAACCUGACGGACCAAUCCGAUUCCGAAACAUGUCGAAACAAACAGAGGUUAUAAGUGCUUCAGAAUUCAUAACCUAAAAGCUACAACCCCACUGAAAAGUUUGUUUUAUUUAAAAAAACAUAUAAUGAUUUUAUGAAAUCUUCAGUACGAAGCACAUCAGUAAUAGUGACGAUGAAGGUUUAAUGCCAAUGAGUUUUUAAAUAAUAAUAUCGUACAACUGGACGAACUAACCCCACCAUAUCUCAUGAUCACUACCAAACUAGAUUUCUACCUUGACGCCUUUCGAAAAUGAAAAAGGAAAAAGAAAAUUGAAAUUUUAGGAAGCCAAAUUCUUUUAAAUUUAGAAUACUUUUAUUCACAUAUUUAUUUUUUUUAGUAUUUUUUUUAAUUUUUGAUUGAGAGAUGAAAGAUGAAACCUGCAAUAUUGAUUCAUCGGAACGAAUGAAUUGAAGAAGACUAAUAAUAAAAAAUUAACAAGAAUGAGUGAAAGUAAAAAUAGAUAUGUGAAUAACACUAUCUUAAAUUUAAUGCAUAACUUGUUAGAGUAUAAUCAAGGGUAGAUAUAGUGCCACUUGUUAGCUCAAGAUAGGAGUAAUUAGUUAGGAUUAUUGGAGAGGCAGCUGUGAUGUAUGGCUUCUCUAUAAAUACUAGUGUGAUGUAAUAGCUUCAGUAAAAAGAAAUAAAAAUACAUUUACUGAAAUCUCUCUCUCUAAGUUCUGUCUGUCUCUCUCUCUAAAUUCCUUCGUUUUCUUGGUUAAUGGCUAAUGCUUAACAUGGUAUCAAUUGCCGGAAUUGCUUGCGCAUCUUCGAUCCUCUAGUUGCUUCCCUUUUUGAAGCUUUGUAUAGUAAACUCCCCAUCAUUUCACAUCUUAAGAUCUUUGGCUGUUCAUGUUUUCCAUUUCUCAGCCCUUAUAAUGCAUCUAAAUUACAACCCAAGACCAUCAAGUGUGUCUUCCUUGGUUAUGCUUCCCAGUACAAGGGUUAUAUUUGUUUUGAUGUCUCACGAAACAAGUACAUACAUAUCCAGGCAUGUGGUGUUCAAUGAGUUAGAGUUUCCAUACAAAGUCUUGCUGUCUCAGAAGCAUCAGUCUUCUCUACCAAGUCUUCUAGCACUAUUUCACAUUCAUCAUUAAUUCCCACACUAGAUAACAUUUUGGUUUCCUCCUCAUCUAAAUGCCCUCUUUCAAAUCAUACCCACACUGUUUCUGCAACCCAUGAGUCAGUGCCACUAGCAUCCAUUUCUCCUGCAGGGUCUCAGCCUCAAUUACCAUCACAGUCCAUUACUGCUGGUCACAAUGUUUCCUCCACGCUCCCUGUGGAUUCUAUACAUAGUCCUGUUGAUUCUAUAGGCUCAACAUUUAGUCAUGAGCACUUGCCAGUGGUCCUGCCUAUUGCUCCCAUUAACUUGCAUCCUAUGCAAACUAGGAGCAAAAGUGGUAUUGUCAAAAGAAAGGCAUUACUUGCUACCUUGGAGGAAUCCAGUGAAGUGGAUCUAUCUGUUAUUGAACCCACAUCCUAUAAGAAUGCUCUUAAGGUUCCAGUUUGGUACAAGGCUAUGCAGGAGGAAAUCCAUGCACUUCACUCUCAAGGCACUUGGUCAUUGGUUUCCUUACCAUCUCAGAAGAAUCUUGUAAGCUGUAAGUGGGUGUUCAAACUCAAAAGGAAUGAUGAUGGGUCAAUUGGUCGACAUAAGGCUCGUUUGGUUGCAAAAGGAUUUAGCCAAGAACCUGGUUUAGAUUUUGAGGAGACCUUCAGUCCUGUGGUCAAACCAACUACAGUCAGGUUAGUUUUAUCCCUUGCUGCUUACUUUGGCUGGUCUCUUAGGCAAUUAGAUGUGAAGAACGCGUUCCUGCAUGGUUUUUUGCAAGAGGAGGUCUAUAUGUCACAACCUCCGGGGUUUGAAGAUUCUAGCCAUCCACAUCUUGUUUGUAAGCUUCACAAGUCUCUUUAUGGCUUGAAACAAACUCCUCGAGUAUGGAAUGAACGGUUCACUGCAUUCAUUCCAACAAUUGGGUUCAAAACAACAUAUUCAGAUUCUUCUCUGUUCAUAAACACCAUUGGUAGUGAUGUUGUGAUUCUAUUACUAUACGUUGAUGACAUUAUCAUUACUGGAAGCUCUAUCACUGUUAUCCAACAGGUUAUCCGAUCACUUACUUCUGAGUUUGAUCUUAAGGAUCUUGGGGAGUUACAUUAUUUUCUUGGCAUCCAAAUCACUAGAAUAGAUUCUGGAUUGUUUCUCUCCCAGUCUAAAUAUAUUCAGGACCUGCUGCAGAAGACAGAAAUGCUCGAGGCCAAGCCUUGUGAUACUCCUUGCUUACCCUAUAACAUGCUUUUGAAAGAUGAUGGCCUUCCGUAUAACAAUCCCACUGCCUAUAGAAGUAUUGUCGGUGCCUUACAAUAUCUUACAUUUACUCGUCCAGAUAUCUCAUUCUCUGUACACCAAGUCUGUCAGUUUAUGCAAAAUCCUAUGGUGUCUCACUUUACUGCCGUAAAGAGAAUACUACGAUAUUUGAAAGACACAAUGCAGCUUGGUCUUACUUACUCCAAGAGUGACUUGACAAUACGAGCUUUUAGUGAUGCGGAUUGGGCAGGUGAUCCGAAUGAUCGCAGGUCAACCACUGGAUUGGUAGUGUUUCUGGGUUCAAAUCCUGUUUCCUGGUCUUCCAAGAAACAGCAAACUGUUUCUCGGUCCUCCACAGAGGCUGAGUAUCGGGCUAUGUCUACUACCUCUGCUGAGAUUGAUUGGAUCUUACAAAUCCUUGCGUUUCUGCAGGUUUAAAUAUCUUCUCCACCUGUCCUUUUUUGUGACAACUUGUCGGCUAUAGCGUUGUCAUUUAACCCUGUUGAGCAUCAAAGGACAAAACAUUUUGAGGUGGAUGUUCAUUUUGUAAGGGAGCGGAUUGCCAAGAAGCAGCUUGACGUUCAGUUUGUGUUAUCUCGAGAACAGUUUGCAGAUAUUUUCACUAAAGGUCUUAGUGCACCCCUAUUUCACACUCAUUGUAACAAUCUCAUGCUUGGUUCAUCCAAACAUGAGAUUGCGGGGGGAUGUUAGAGUAUAAUCAAGGGUAGAUAUAGUGCCACUUGUCAGCUCAAGAUAGGAGUAAUUAGUUAGGAUUAUUGGAGAGGCAGUUGUGAUGUAUGGCUUCUCUAUAAAUACUAGUGUGAUGUAAUAGCUUCAGUAAGAAGAAAUAGAAAUACAUUUACUGAAAUCUCUCUCUCUAAGUUCUGUCUCUCUCUCUCUAAAUUCCUUCGUUUUCUUGGUUAAUGGCUAAUGCUUAACAUAACUAAGCAUGAUAUGUGAAAAGGUAGGAAUUUUUUAGUUAAAGAAAAGGGAAAGUUUCUACUGGGGUUUGCUCAAUAGUCAGUAGUGAGGAAUGGAGUAAAGGAUGAUAGGUAAGAAUAUUUCAGAUCGGAAGUUCCAAAUCUCUAAUGUAACCAAAGAAAAAUGUAAGCUUCUAUUUUUGAAAGUGUCGGUGUUAUAAACUACCAGUAUAUUCGGGAAGGAGAUUGAGCACACAACGAUUGGUUAAUGGUAUCCACUUUUCACUUAUAAGAGGUUUUAGAAUCGACUCACAUAAAUAUGAGAACAAUAUAUAUUUGUAGUGAGUUCAAUCAAAGAUGAAGUCAAGAAUUUAUAUACGUGUUGGCUAAUAGAUUCUCUGUAUUGGAGCAAGGAGUGUAAAUUAAAUCUAGGUGGGGAAAAAAUAUUGUAUUUCACAAAUUUAUGCUCAAUAUUAGUAGUAAUUUCCAUCUUUUUUCAAGAAUUGCACUAGGUAAUUGCCCAUGAGAGCCUAUAACUAGUUUUGUCCUUUUUUUAUAUUUAAGGUAACAAGCUCCGUCCUUGAGUUCAAUACUAAAUUGUGAUUUAUUGUUGUGUAUCAUUGUAGUUUGUCAUAUCUUAUCAUUCAUCAAAAGAAGAAAGAGAUCAAAUCAGAUGUAAGGACGGAUACACUUCCAUAAUCAAUUGUCCAAUCUUGGCUUUGAAAGCCUUAUAUUCAAUUGUCCAAAACAUACACAAAUGACAAAAUGCUGGGCAAAUGGAAAAAUUAUUGUACAAAUGCAUGUGCAAAGUAGUGGUCAGCCUGUUCUCUCAUUUAUCCAUUUGUUUACCAUACUUUUCGUGUAUGCCAUUUUAAGUGCAUGUACGUUAUAUGCACUGUAUAAACACAUGAAUCAUGUGUUGGACUUAUAGAAUUAUUAGAGAGUUUUGUUUCAUAGUAGACAUUGAUGUUGGACUUGUUCUGACUCCACAACUUGCCCAAACACAUGAAUCAUGGCUAGCUUUUUUUUUUUUUUAAAGUACUUUAGACAAUUAUAAGGGCUGUAUGGUAUAAGGGAUUGGAUUGAAAUAGAUAAAUCACUACUUUAAAUUAAUGAUGAAGGAAAUAAUUGAAAAUUUGUGAUCAACUCGAAAGUAGGAGAUUAAUUUCUAAAUCAACUAGCGUGUAUCAUGAAAAUGUUUUGUAAAAGGAGCACUUAAGUGCUUUUAAAUAACUACAAGCGCUUCCGCCAAGGGUUGUGUUUCUGAACUAGAAAAUCAUCUAGACAUGCUUAAUUUGUAAAAGAAGUGUUUGUUUCAAAGAACACUUGAAUUUUUAUUCAAAUUUUCAACGUGAUCUAAUAGAAACUUUUCCAAUAAAGCGUUUACGAGCAAAAAUGUUGUCAAGAUAAACAUUUUCAAAACGACCCUUAAGAUUCUAAAUCCAAAGUGCAUAUCAUGGAUGUCAAAUUGGCAUAUUUCCAAUUUGAAGCGUUGUAUAAAUUUCUUUACGUGUGAUGCAAGCAAUCAAGCAAAGCAUGCAGUUGGAUAAUGCAUACACAUAAAAAUGAAUAAACGAUGUAAAGUUUACGAAUGUUAAGAAGGAAAGUAGACCUGAUGAAAAGGCCGACAUUAUGAGAUCACCACACCAACAGUAUGAAAGAACAUGAACAUUUGCAUUCAAGAUUUCACUCUUGACAAUUUUCUGGAAGAAAUGAAUACAACCAUCAUGAAGAAUGAGACGUUCACCAGCUCUUUUUAUAUCUUCGAGAUUAAGACCCUUGAAUACUCCACACUUCGCGACUCUAUUGUUUGCUUUCCUCUCAAAACCCGAAGGUUUCUCUACUGCUUUAUGCAAAUUUUCAUGCUUAGCGGAUUGUAACUACGUGGAGCCAUAUAGUACUUAAACAUAGAGGAGCUUGCUGCUUUGAGAGAGUGGUUUGUCAACCAUGUGAUUAGAUUGUCCUACUAAUGUUUUUUUCUCAUAUAGAAUCGCCAAGGUGAGAUCAUCUUAAUCUAAAACCGUGCUUGUUGUUCACCAUGUUCACUAUGCUUUAACAGUUCAAGAAAUGAAUGUAUAAAAACAGCCUCCUCCAUUAGCGUCGCCUUCCACUGAUUGAAAGCACACUUUUUGAAUUCAAUCAAUCCAUAUAUUUGGAUUCUCUUUGAACUAAUCCAACUGGCUGAAUUGAAUAAACCCCUAAAGUUGUACGGACACCCCAACAAAGUGUACCUUCACCAAGAUGCAAUAUUUAUAAAUAAUGAUACAUGCCACUUGAACACUUUGAAGGUAAAUGCCAAGUCAAAGCUACAACAAGAUUUUUGAUUUGGUGCUGGAAGUUGGUCUGUCUUCUCUAAUUUGCUCAUGGGAUUCUGAAUCUCAACAGGUUAAAAAUGAACUGUCAUUGAACUAAUCAUCAACUUUUUCAAUUCUUAUUAAUUAUUAAUUUCUUAUUUUUAAUUAGCUUUGUCGCUGAGUCUUUGAUAAGUCACGGACCAAUAGAAAAAUUAAAUUGGAUUGUCUUUUUAUUCUUCUUCUUCUUUUUAUAUAGUUGCACGUCAUUUGGCACACACAUGGUGACUUACUCAAAAUUUAAAUAAUUAAAAGGAAAAAAAGAAGAGAAAAAAUGAGGGAGGGUUUAGACUUUGCUAGCGAUCGCCUCGUCGUCCUUAUCCCAGAAUGUGUUAUGGCUUUUACAAUGUGAAAGAUGUUGGAGUACCAAAAAUUUCUAUCUUCCCCAUGAAAGUUCAAUUUAAGAGUUUCUUUUUUUCUUUCUAUACAUGAGUGUUUGAUAUGUAGAGAACAAUUUAUGUUGAACACACAUGGUGAGUCAUUUUGCCAUGCCAUUACUAUGCUCCAAACUAAAAUGACUAGCUAUAGCUAUGUGUACUAAAGGGACCCAAAAGGGCACCCACCGUCCUCACAUGCCUAAAACGACCUGAUUCCUAAAACCAGAUUAGCCUUCACUCUCAAAUUUGCAUCAUUUGGAAAGAAAUCUCUAUCCUCCAAUUAAUCCCUUUUUUUUCAUUUUCUUUUAGGAUUCUUCAACAAUUGUGAGUUUGUAUUGGUAUUGGGUCUAUGGAUUAACAUUUCUUAGUUUUUAUUGGUAUAAGAUCUACGAAUCAUAUAAGUUUUUGGCAUUUUGCUCGUAUACAGAGCGAUAAGAAUUUGUGUUAUUGUUUCUUUGAAUAGAAUUAGGUUUUUAAAAUCACUAUGCGUACUUAUCUUUAAAAAGUAUAAGAUAACAGUUUUAUUACAUCAUAUAUGCGUUAUAUGUAGAUAAGUAUCGCUAACGAUAACUAAGUGUCAUUUUAUUAUUGAUGUAGUAAAAACCCUCACCUAGAGCAAGGUCAUGACUCAUGCAACAUUUUCCAUGUAGCACUUCAAUUAAAUUCCUAUAAAAUGUAGACAUUUGGCAUAUUGACAACCAUUCCAUGUUAGGACACAUUAUGUACUACUCAAACAUAAACCUCUGGAUAUACAGGCACCGUCACGUUUGCAGUAGUCCACUUUGCGUGUUAUUUACUGAAGUGGAGUUUAAUAUAUACAUUAUCCGAGGUGUUUUCUUCUUCUUUUUCCUCUGUUUACUUUCCCAACUAUUUGGAGCUAGCCCUUCCAUAUAUACCAGUUAUACUUCAACAUUUUAUCAUGUCUGCUAGCCCCCACCCUUCACUUUUUGAUAGAUCUCAAAUCUUCUUUAUUCUUGUGCCCUAGCUAGACAUGUGCGGAGGAACAAUGGUAGGGAUCACAUAAUUUAGUCACUAACUAGAAAGUUCUCACUACAUUAUCUUCUGGUUCAGUCUUCUUUCACAUUAUCUAGUGAUAUAACUCUAAUCAAGGCCCUUGAUCCUUUUAAAGAUGUAUGCAUUGUUAGUUCUCAGAAAUGCUCGAAUGUUGUAUAAAAAACAUUUUAUGAAGAUUUCAGAUGGGGAUAUUAAUUACAAAUUUGAGAUUUUGGGAUCCUAGGCUACCAGCAUUUCAUUCAUUUACCAAAGUUUUGGGGUUUUUGAGACGUUGAACAAGAGAUCAAGAAUGCUGCUGCCAUGCCUGUUAACUGGAAGAUGGACUGGUAAAAAAACCACGCAGACAAUCAUUCAACGGCGUAUAUAUACAUAUGUAUAGCGUGAAAUUAUUUUUAGGAAAGAAUCAGACACGAGAGGGAGCUUUUUCAUCCAACCACGCACUAAGAUUCUAUCCUAUACCCUAACCAUUUACCUAGAAAUUAUAGCUUUGGAUUCCAGUUUAGAUAAGUAUAUAGUACAAGCUUACGAGAAAAUAGAACAAAAUUAUAUAUAUAUAUAUAUAUAUAUAUAUAUAUAUAUAUAGCAAUUGUGGGUGUCAAGCAAUCAAUUAUUCAUUUAUCAAUAAGAAGAAGAAGAAAAAUCUUACAGUCAUGGAAAAUACAAGCAAAUCUUUUAGCAAAUGCAUAAAGAUUAGAGACAAACAAAGGGAAACACAAAAUUAUAUCCAUUUUUGGCUGCUCAGCCUGCUAGAACAUAUUCCUUAAUUUAUUUCAGCAAUUCCUCCAUUAAUUAAUUUCUUGAUAACUAAGCCAAGAAUCAGGAGAAAAGGUGGUCUUUCUUCCAAUGGAAAGAAAAAGAUCAAGGAAUAUUAAGGAUGAUAUAUAUAACUAUUUUUUAUAUAUCAUAUGUGAUAAGCCAAGAAUAUCAGACUUGCCUGAGUUUACAUUCCUCAAUUUCAUCACCUUUCUUUACUGCUGUAAAUUAGGUCAUGGCUGAAAGAUGAUGAAAACCCUAAAUCCUCCUCCUCAUCCUCCUCCUCCGGCCCAACUUUUCGACAUCAAAGACUGAUAAUCUCCUCUUGAUGACCUUCUUGUUAGCUUUUGAAGCACCAUAGCCAUUGUUCCUUGGACAAAUUCAGUGACACCAAAUGAAAGAAAUUGAACGACAAUAGAGAUUGAUCCUAUGAAUCCUUCAGAAACUGGUCACUUGUUAGGCAGAAAUUAGAAUUAAGUUGGAGAGAGAGAGAGAGAGAGAGAGAGAGAAAUAGGAAGAAGAGGAGAGAGAGAGAGGAGAGGCCACAGAAUUUGGGGUGG